rnacentral:rRNA from 1 species
UACGUAGGCAGCGAGCGUUGUUCGGAAUUACUGGGCGUAAAGCGCGUGUAGGCGGCUUUGUAAGUGUGGUGUUAAAUCUCCCGGCUUAACUGGGAGGGUGCGCCGAAAACUGCAAGGCUGGAGUGUGGGAGAGGUAGGCGGAAUUCCUGGUGUAGCGGUGAAAUGCGUAGAUAUCAGGAGGAACACCUGUGGUGUAGACGGCUUACUGGACCAUGACUGACGCUGAGGCACGAAAGCGUGGGGAGCAAACAGG